GAUUGAGUCCAAAACUUGGGGAACAUCAUAAUAUUGUGGGAGGAGUCAUUUGGUGGGUUUGGAGUGAAAUCCAAUCUCUAGAACUAUACAAUACACCAACCACCCCAUUUCAGAACGAACUUCGUACGAACCUGAAUUGUAGGAUUUCAAGGACCAAUCGAUAUCGGAUUGAGUCCAAAACAAGGGGAACAUCGUAAUAUUGUGGGAGGAGUCAUUUGGUAAGUUUUGAGUGAAAUACAAUCCCUAGAACUAUACAAUACACCAACCACCCCAUUUCAGAACGAACUUCGUAGGAACCUGAAUUGUCCGAUUUCAAGGACCAAUCGAUAUCGGAUUGAGUCCAAAACUUGGGGAACAUCAUCAUAUUGUCGGAGGAGUCAUUUGGUGGGUUUUGAGUGAAAUCCAAUCUCUAGAACUAUACAAUACACCAACCACCCCAUUUCAGAACGAACUUCGUACGAACUUGAAUUGUCCGAUUUGAAGGACCAAUCGAUAUCGGAUUGAGUCCAAAACUUGGGGAACAUCAUAAUAUUGUGGGAGGAGUCAUUAGGUAGGUUUUGAGUGAAAUCCAAUCUCUAGAACUAUACAACACCCCAACCACCCCAUUUCAGAACGAACUUCGUACGAACCUGAAUUGUCCGAUUUCAAGGACCAAUCGAUAUCGGAUUGAGUCCAAAACUUGGGGAACAUCAUAAUAUUGUGGGAGGAGUCAUUUGGUGGGUUUUGAGUGAAUCCAAUCUCUAGAACUAUACAACACACCAGACCACCCCAUUUCAGAACGAACUUCGUGACGAACCUGAAUUGUCCGAUUUCAAGGACCAAUCGAUAUCGGAUUGAGUCCAAAAAGUUGGGGGAACAUCGUUAUAUUCUGAGAGGAGUCAUUUGGCGGGUUUUGAGUGAAAUCCAAUCUCUAGAAAUAUACAAUACACCAACCACCUCAUUUCAGAACGAACUUCGUACGAACCUGAAUUGUCAAAUUUCGUGGACCGAUCGAUAUAGGAUUGAGUCCAAAACUUGGGGAACAACAUCAUAUUGUGGGAGGAGUCAUUUGGUGGGUUUUGAGUGAAAUCCAAUCUCUAGAACUAUACAAUACACCAACCACCCCAUUUCAGAACGCACUUCGUACAAACCUGAAUUGUCCGAUUUCAAGGAUGAAUCGAUAUCGGAUUGAGUCUAAAACUUGGGGAACAUCAUAAUAUUGUGGGAGGAGUCAUUUGGUUUGUUUUGAGUGAAAUCCAAUCUCAAGAACUAUACAAUACACCAAACACCCCAUUUCAGAACGGACUUCGUACGAACCUGAAUUGUGCGAUUUCAAGGACCAAUCGAUAUCGGAUUGAGUCCAAAACUUGGGGAACAUCAUAAUAUUGUGGGAGGAGUCAUUUGGAGGGUUUUGAGUGAAAUCCAAUUUCUAGAACUAUACAAUACACCAACCACCCCAUUUCAGAACGAACUUCGUACGAACCUGAAUUGUCCGAUUUCAAGGACCAAUCGAUAUCGGAUUGAGUCCAAAACAUGGGGAACAUCAUAAUAUUGUGGGAGGAGUCAUUUGGUAAGUUUUGGGCGAAAUACAAUCCCUAGAACUAUACAAUACACCAACCACUCCAUUUCAGAACGAACUUCGUAGGAACCUGAAUUGUCCGAUUUCAAGGACCAAUCGAUAUCGGAUUGAGACCAAAACUUGGGGAACAUCAUAAUAUUGUGGGAGGAGUCAUUUGAUGGGUUUUGAGUGAAAUCCAAUCUCUAGAACUAUACAAUACACCAACCACCCCAUUUCAGAACGAACUUCGUACGAACCUGAAUUGUCCGAUUUCAAGGACCAAUCGAUAUCGGAUUGAGUCCAAAACUUGGGGAACAUCAUAAUAUUGUGGGAGGAGUCUUUUGGUGGGUUUUGAGUGAAAUCCAAUCUCCAGAACUAUACAAUACACCAACCACCCCAUUUCAGAACGAACUUCGUAGGAACCUGAAUUGUCCGAUUUCAAGGACCAAUCGAUAUCGGAUUGAGUCCAAAACUUGGGGAACAUCAUAAUAUUGUGGGAGGAGUCAUUUGGUGAGUUUUUGAGUGAAAUACAAUCCUCAGAACUAUACAAUACACCAACCACUCCAUUUCAGAACGAACUUCGUACGAACCUGAAUUUUCAAAUUUCGUGGACCACUCGAUAUCGGAUUGAGUCCAAAACUUGGGGAACAUCAUAAUAUUGUGGGAGGAGUCAUUUGGUGGGUUUUGAGUGAAACACAAUCCCUAGAACUAUACAAUACACCAACCACUCCAUUUCAGAACGAACUUCGUACGAACCCUGAAUUGUCAAAUUUCGUGGACCGAUCGAUAUCGGAUUGAGUCCAAAACUUGGGGAACAUCAUAAUAUUGUGGGAGUAGUCAUUUGGUGGGUUUUGAGUGAAAUCCAAUCUCCAGACUAUACAAUACACCAACCACUCCAUUUUAGAACGAACUUCGUAGGAACCUGAAUUAUCCAAUUUCAAGGACCAAUCGAUAUCGGAUUGAGUCCAAAACUUGGGGAACAUCCAUAAUAUUGUGGGAGGAGUCAUUUGGCUGGGUUUUGAGUGAAAUCCAAUCUUCUAGAACUAUACAAUACACCAAANNNNNNNNNNNNNNNNNNNNNNNNNNNNNNNNNNNNNNNNNNNNNNNNNNNNNNNNNNNNNNNNNNNNNNNNNNNNNNNNNNNNNNNNNNNNNNNNNNNNNNNNNNNNNNNNNNNNNNNNNNNNNNNNNNNNNNNNNNNNNNNNNNNNNNNNNNNNNNNNNNNNNNNNNNNNNNNNNNNNNNNNNNNNNNNNNNNNNNNNNNNNNNNNNNNNNNNNNNNNNNNNNNNNNNNNNNNNNNNNNNNNNNNNNNNNNNNNNNNNNNNNNNNNNNNNNNNNNNNNNNNNNNNNNNNNNNNNNNNNNNNNNNNNNNNNNNNNNNNNNNNNNNNNNNNNNNNNNNNNNNNNNNNNNNNNNNNNNNNNNNNNNNNNNNNNNNNNNNNNNNNNNNNNNNNNNNNNNNNNNNNNNNNNNNNNNNNNNNNNNNNNNNNNNNNNNNNNNNNNNNNNNNNNNNNNNNNNNNNNNNNNNNNNNNNNNNNNNNNNNNNNNNNNNNNNNNNNNNNNNNNNNNNNNNNNNNNNNNNNNNNNNNNNNNNNNNNNNNNNNNNNNNNNNNNNNNNNNNNNNNNNNNNNNNNNNNNNNNNNNNNNNNNNNNNNNNNNNNNNNNNNNNNNNNNNNNNNNNNNNNNNNNNNNNNNNNNNNNNNNNNNNNNNNNNNNNNNNNNNNNNNNNNNNNNNNNNNNNNNNNNNNNNNNNNNNNNNNNNNNNNNNNNNNNNNNNNNNNNNNNNNNNNNNNNNNNNNNNNNNNNNNNNNNNNNNNNNNNNNNNNNNNNNNNNNNNNNNNNNNNNNNNNNNNNNNNNNNNNNNNNNNNNNNNNNNNNNNNNNNNNNNNNNNNNNNNCAUUUCAGAACGAACUUCGUAGGAACUGAAUGUCCGAAUUUCAAGGACCAAUCGAUAUCGGAUUGAGUACCAAAACUUGGGGCAACAUCAUAAUAUUGUGGGAAGGAGUCAUUUGAUGGGUUUUGAGUGAAAUCCAAUCUCUAGAACUAUACAAUACACCAACCACCCCAUUUCAGAACGAACUUCGUACGAACCUGAAUUGUCCGAUUUCAAGGACCAAUCGAUAUCGGAUUGAGUCCAAAACUUGGGGAACAUCAUAAUAUUGUGGGAGGAGUCUUUUGGUGGGUUUUGAGUGAAAUCCAAUCUCCAGAACUAUACAAUACACCAACCACCCCAUUUCAGAACGAACUUCGUAGGAACCUGAAUUGUCCGAUUUCAAGGACCAAUCGAUAUCGGAUUGAGUCCAAAACUUGGGGAACAUCAUAAUAUUCUGGGAGGAGCAUUUGUGGGUUUUGAGUGAAAUCCAUCUCUAGAACAUACAAUACACCAACCACCCCAUUUCAUAACGAACUUCGUACAAACCUGGAUUGUCCGAUUUCAAGGACAAUCGAUAUCGGAUUGAGUCCAAAACUUGGGGAACAUCAUAAUAUUGUGGGAGGAGUCAUGUGGUUUGUUUUUAGUGAAAUCCAAUCUCUAGAACUAUACAAUACAACAACCACCCCAUUUUAGAACGAACUUCGUAGGAACCUGAAUUGUCCGAUUUCAAGGACUAAUCGAUAUCGGAUUGAGUCCAAAACUUGGGGAACAUCAUAAUAUUGUCGGAGGAGUCAUUUGGUGGGUUUUGAGUGAAAUCCAAUCUCCAGAACUAUACAAUACAGCAACCACCCCAUUUAUGAACGAACUUUGUACGAACCUGAAUUGUCCGAUUUCAAGGACCAAUCGAUAUCGGAUUGAGUCCAAAACUCAGGGAACAUCAUAAUAUUGUGGGAGUUGUCAUUUGGUGCCUUUUGGGUAAAAUCCAAUCUCCAGAACUAUACAAUACACCAACCAACCCAUUUCCAGAACGAACUUCGUACGAACCUGAAUUGUCCGAUUUCAAGGACCAAUCGAUAUCGGAUUGAGUCCAAAACUCGGGGAACAUCAGAAUAUUGUGGGAGUUGUCAUUUGGUGCCUUUUCGGUAAAAUCCAAUCCCUACAGCUAUACAAUGCACCAACCACUCCAUUUCAGAACGACCUUCAGACGAACUUGAAUUGUCCGAUUUCGUUGACCAAUCGAUAUCGGAUUGAGUCAAAAACCUGGGGAACAUCAUAAUAUUGUGGGAGGAGUCAUUUGGUGGGUUUUCAGUGAAAUCCAAUCUCUAGAACUAUACAAUACACCAACCACCCCAUUUCAGAACGAACAUCGUGCGAACAUGAAUUGUCCGAUUUCAAGGACCAAUCGAUAUCGGAUUGAGUCCAAAACUUGGGGAACAUCAUCAUAUUGUGGGAGGAGUCAUUUGGGGGGUUUUGAGUGAAAUCCAAUCCCUAGAACUAUACAAUACACCAACCACCCCAUUUCAGAACGAACUUCGUACGAAACUAAAUUGUCCGAUUCGAAGGACCAAUCGAUAUCGGAUUGAGUCCAAAACUUGGGGAACAUCAUAAUAUUGUGGGAGGAGUCAUUUGGUGGGUUUUUAGUGAAAUCCAAUCUCUACAACUAUACAAUACACCAACCACCCCAUUUCAGAACGAACUUCGUACGAACCGGAAUUGUCGGAUUUCAAGGACCAAACGAUAUCGGAUUGAGUCCAAAACUUGGGGAACAUCAUAAUAUCGUGGGAGGAGUCAUUUGGUGGGUUUUGAGUGAAAUCCAAUCUCUAGAACUAUACAAUACACCAACUACCCCAUUUCAGAACAAACUUCGUACGAACAUGAAUUGUCCGAUUUCAAGGACCAAUCGAUAUCGGAUUGAGUCCAAAACUUGGGGAACAUCGUAAUAUUGUGGGAGGAGUCAUUUGGUGGAUUUUGAGUGAAAUCCAAUCUCUAAAGCUAUACAAUACACCAACCACUCCAUUUCAGAUCGAAAUUCGUACGAACUUGAAUUCUCUGAUUUCACAAUCCAAUCGAUAUCGAAUUGAGUCCAAAACUUGGGGAACCUCAUGAUAUUGUGGGAGUCAUUUGGUGGCUUUUGGGUGAAAUCCAAUCCCUACAACUAUACAAUACACCAACCAUUCCAUUUCAGAACGACCUUCAUACGACGUUGAAUUGUCCGAUUUCAUUGACCAAUCGAUAUCGGAUUGAGUCCAAAACCUCGGGAACAUCAUAAUAUUGUGGGAGUUGUCAUUUGGUGCCUUUUGGGUAAAAUCCAAUCUCCAGAACUAUACAAUACACCAACCAACCCAUUUCCAGAACGAACUUCGUACGAACCUGAAUUGUCCGAUUUCAAGGACCAAUCGAUAUCGGAUUGAGUCCAAAACUCGUGGAACAUCAUAAUAUUGUGGGAGUUUUCAUUUGGUGGCUUUUGGGUAAAAUCUAAUCCCUACAGCUAUACAAUGCACCAACCACUCCAUUGCAGAACGACCUUCAUACGAACUUGAAUUGUCCGAUUUGAUGGACCAAUCGAGAUCUGAUUGAGUACAAAACCUGGGGAACAUCAUAAUAUUGUGGGAGGAGUCAUUUGGUGGGUUUUGAGUGAAAUCCAAUCUCUAGAACUAUUCAAUACACCAACCACUAUAUUUCCGAACGAACUUCGUACGAACCUGAAUUGUCCGAUUUCAAGGACCAAUCGAUAUCGGAUUGAGUCCAAAACUUAGGGAACAUCAUAAUAUUGUGGGAGGAGUCAUUUGGUGGAUUUUGAGUGAAAUCCAAUCCCUACAACUAUACAAUACACCAACCACUCCAUUUUAGAACGAACUUCGUACGAACCUGAAUUGCCAAAUUUCGUGGACCGAUCGAUAUCAGAUUGAGUCCAAAACUUGGGGAACAUCAUAAUAUUGUGGGAAGAGUCAUUUGGUGGGAUUUGAGUGAAAUAUAAUCCCUAGAACUAUGCAAUACACCAACCACCCCAUUUAUGAACGAACUUCGUACGAACCUGAAUUGUCCGAUUUGAAGGACCAAUCGAUAUCGGAUUGAGUCCAAAACUCAGGGAACAUCAUAAUAUUGUGGGAGUUGUCAUUUCGUGGCUUUUAGGUAAAAUCCAAUCUCCAGAACUAUACAAUACACUGACCACCCCAUUUAUGAACGAUCUUCGUACGAACCUGAAUUGUCCGAUUUCAAGGACCAAUCGAUAUCGGAUUGAGUCCAAAACUCGGGGAACAUGAUAAUAUUGUGGGAGUUGUCAUUUGGUGGCUUUUGGGUAAAAUCCAAUUUCCAGAACUAUACAAUACACCAACCAACCCAUUUCCAGAACGAACUUCGUACGAACCUGAAUUGUCCGCUUUCAAGGACCAAUCGAUAUUGGAUUGAGUCCAAAACUCGGGGAACAUCAUAAUAUUGUGGGAGUUGUCAUUUGGUGGCUUUUGGGUAAAAUUCAAUCCCUACAGCUAUACAAUGCACCAACCACUCCAUUUCAGAAUGACCUUCAUACGAACUUGAAUUGUCCGAUUUCAUUGACCAAUUGAUAUCGGAUUGAGUCCAAAACCUGGGGAACAUCAUAAUAUUGUGGGAGGAGUCAUUUGGUGGGUUUUGAGUGAAAUCCAAUCUCUAGAACUGUGCAAUACACCAACCACUCCAUUUCCGAACGAACUUCGUACGAACCUGAAUUGUCCGAUUUCAAGGACCAAUCGAUAUCCGAUUGAGUCCAAAACUCGGGGAACAUCAUAAUAUUGUGGGAGGAGUCAUUUGGUGGGUUUUGAGUGAAAUCCAAUCCCUAGAACUAUACAAUACACCGACCACUCCAUUUCAGAACGAACAUCGUACGAACUUGAAUUGCCCGAUUUCAUUGACCAAUCGAUAUCGGAUUGAGUCCAAAACUUGGGGAAAAACAUAAUAUUGUGGGAGGAGUCAAUUGGUUGGUUUUGAGUGAAAUACAAUCAAUAGAACUAUACAAUACACCAACCACACCAUUUCAGAACGAACUUCGUACGAACCUGAAUUGUCCGAUUUCGAGGACCAAUCGAUAUCGGAUUGAGUCCAAAACUUAGGUGAUAACUCAUAUAUUUAUACAUUUAUACCAUCCAUUUCUAGUAUAUUUGUGAUGUUUUUGAGUUAACUUGUUGCGUUUUAUCCUAUUUUGUGUUAGUAUGCAGUUGCAUAUACUUUAGGAUCAAGUUGAAGGCAAAAGAAAUGAAAACAUGCCAUUUUUGGAGCUGACCCUUAUUCAAACGUGGAAACAAGUUUCGUGACCUGUUUUGAAGUCCAAAUAAAGAAUGCAAGGCGAACCUGGCUUGUUUGAAGACUAAGAGCGGAAUGGGAAAGCAAUGGGGAUUUCUAGCCUAAUUUGGAGGUGCCAAAUAAGGCAAAAACGUGCAAAAUAAAGGCUGAUUCAUUAGGAUAUCUUUGGAACAUCUUGCAGCCUUGUUUACCCCAUAAAAACUUGCCUUUUAGCCACUUCUAAAACCCCUAUUUAUUUUGGACGAAUUUCACAACCCUAGAUCUGACUCCUUGGUUAUUCUCUCCUUUCAUGCACACUAAAACCCUAGCCGUCCAUAUAUUUCCACCAUCAGGACUCAGCGCAAGAGGUGGUUCUUGGAGAAGUUCAACAUCAGAAUUGGUUCAAGGGUUUCCUCUCAUGAAUUUAUUUUCACUCAUGUUGUUUAUUUUUGUUUUAAUCUCUUUGAACAUGAUGUGUAACUAAAUUCAUAGCUAGGGAUUUCGAUGUAGCCUUGCAACAUUGAUCCAUGUUUCUAAGUUAAAGUAUUCAGUUCAUCAAUUUGUUUCUUGUUUCAUUCACUGAAUCUAUUGUUCAAUUUGUUUGUCAAUUUUAAUGUUUGAUCACCAUUAGAGUCGCCUACAGAUUAUCUAGACAAGGUUAUAGUAAACAUCAUGCUUAAUCUUGUUAGACAUGUGAAUGAAUGAAGAGAAUGCUAUGCAAACAUCAUGCUGUGUAUUUUCUUUGGUUCUUUAACAUUUUCUUGCAUGCUAAUGACUCUUAACUUGGAACCAAAGUUGAACAUCCCAACUAGGUUGCAGAUUAGGAGAAUUUGAUCAAAACCACACAUCAUAUGGCUGAUCAUAUAUAUGUAAAACGAACUCUGGAAACAGGAUGGUAGUUGAGUACGGUUUAAUUUUAUAAACAUGGAAUUAGUUUUGCAAUGGUGAAUUCGAAAUCCCUGGUCUCUUCCCUAUUCUUUCUACAUCAAUAUAUUAUUCACUACUACAUUCUUUUUGCAUUGGAAGUUAUUUUUCAUUUACAACACAAAAACUACUUUCAAAUUGUCACUUUCAUUUUUAGUUACGGUUCUUUCAAAACUAGUAAUUUAUAGAGGUCCAAUCGGUCCCUGUGGUUCGACACCCUUACUUGUACCAUUAUACUAACCAUAUAUUGGCACCUGGAAGGAACACAACAUUAGGGAACAUUAUAAUAUUAUGGGAGGAGUCAUUUGGGGGAUUUUGAGUGAAAUCCAAUCUUUAGAACUGUGCAAUAGACCAACCAUUCCAUUUCAGAACACAGUUCGCACGAACCGGAAUUGGCCAAUUUCAUGGACCAACGAAUAUCGGAUUGAGUGCAAAACUUGGGGAACAUCGUAAUAUUGUGGGAGGAGUCAUUUGGUGGGUUUUGAGUGAAAUCCAAAAUCUAGAACUAUACAAUACACCAACCACCCCAUUUCAGAACGAACUUCGUACGAACCUGAAUUGUCCGAUUUCAAGGACCAAUCGUUAUCGGAUUGAGUCCAAAACUUGGGGAACAUCAUAAUAUUGUGGGAGUUGUCAUUUGGUGGGUUUUGAGUGAAAUCCAAUCUCUAGAGCUAUACAAUACACCAACCACUCCAUUUCAGAUCGAAAUUCGUAUGAACUUGAAUUCUCUGAUUUCACGGACCAAUCGAUAUCAAAUUGAGUCCAAAACUUGGGGAACCUCAUGAUAUUGUGGGAGGAGUCAUUUGGUGGCUUUUGGGUGAAAUCCAAUCCCUACAACUAUACAAUACACCAACCAUUCCAUUUCAGAAUGACCUUCAUACGACGUUGAAUUGUCCGAUUACAUUGACCAAUCGAUAUCGGAUUGAGUCCAAAACCUGGGGAAUAUCAUAAUAUUGUGGGAGGAGUCAUUUGGUGGGUUUUGAGUGAAAUCCAAUCUCUAGAACUAUACAAUACACCAACCACUCCAUUUCCGAACGAACUUCGUACGAACCUGAAUUGUCCGAUUUAAAGCACCAAUCGAUAUCGGAUUGAGUCCAAAACUUGGGGGACAACAUAAUAUUGUGGGAGGAGUCAUUUGGUGGGUUUUGAGUGAAAUCCAAUCCCUACAACUAUACAAUACACCAACCACUCCAUUUCGGAACGACCUUCGUACAAACUUGAAUUGUCCGAUUUCAUUGACCAAUCGAUAUCGGAUUGAGUCCAAAACUCGGGGAACAUCAUAAUAUUGUGGGAGUUGUCAUUUGGUGCCUUUUGGGUAAAAUCCAAUCUCCAGAACUAUACAAUACACCAACCAACCCAUUUCCAGAACGAACUUCAUACGAACUUGAAUUGUCCGAUAUCAAGGACCAAUCGAUAUCGGAUUGAGUCCAAAACUUGGGGAACAUCAUAAUAUUGUGGGAGGAGUCAUUUGGUGGGUUUUGAGUGAAAUCCAAUCUCUCGAACUAUACAAUACACCAACUACCGCAUUUCCGAACGAACUUCGUACGAAACUGAAUUGUCCGAUUUCAAGCUCCAAUCGAUAUCGGAUUGAGUCCAAAACUUGGGGAACAUCAUAAUAUUGUGGGAGGAGUCAUCUGGUGGGUUUUGAGUGAAAUCCAAUCCCUAGAACUAUACAAUACACCAACCACUCCAUUUUAGAACGAACUUCGUACGAACCUGAAUUGUCCGAUUACAAGGGCCAAUCGAUAUCGGAUUGAGGCCAAAACUUCGGAAACAACAUAAUAUUGUGGGAGGAGUCAUUUGGUGGAUUUUGAGUGAAAUCCAAUCUCUAGAACUAUACAAUACACCAACCACCCCAUGUCACAUGCCGGGAUCAACUCCACCGUAGCACGAUAUUUUCCGCUUUGGGCCCCCCCUCUGCCCGUACGAUUUUGUUUCUGGGAGCUCACGAGUAACUUCCCAGUGGGUCACCCAUCCUGGGAUUGCUCUGGCACUCAACUCGCUUAACUUCGGAGUUCCUACGACUCCGAAGCCAGUGAGCUCCCAAAAGGCCUCGUGCUAGAUGGAUGUGGGUGUGCACAUAUAAGGCACAUCACCCCCUCUCCGUUUGGUUGAUGUGGGAUCUUACAAUCCACCCCCCUUAAGGGCCCGACGUCCUCGUCGGCACACUCGCAGCACACGGCAGAGUGGCUCUGAUACCAAAUUGUCACACCCGGGAUCGGCUCCCCCGUAGCACAAUAUUGUCCGCUUUGGGCCCCCCUCACUGCCCUCACGGUUUUGUUUCUGGGAACUCUUGAGUAACUUCCCAGUGGGUCACCCAUCUUGGGAUUGCUCUAGCCCCCAACUCGCUUAACUUCGGAGUUCCUACGACUCCGAAGCCAGUGAGCUCCCAAAAAGCCUCGUGCUAGAUGGAUGCGAGUGUGCACAUAUAAGGCACAUCACCCCCUCUCCGUUGGUUGAUGUGGGAUCUUACAAUCCACCCCCCUUAAGGGCCCGACGUCCUCGUCGGCACACUCUCACCACACGGCAGAGUGGCUCUGAUACCAAAUUGUCACACCCCUGGAUCGGCUCCGCCGUAGCACGAUAUUGUCCGCUUUGGGCCCCCCUCACUGCCCUCACGGUUUUGUUUCUGGGAACUCACGAGCAACUUCCCAGUGGGUCACCCAUCCUGGGAUUGGUCUAGCCCCCAACUCGCUUAACUUCGGAGUUCCUACGACUCCGAAGCCAAUGAGCUCCCAAAAGGCCUCGUGCUAGAUGGAUGCACAUAUAAGGCACAUCACCCCUUCUCCGUUGGUUGAUGUGAGAUCUUCCAAUCCACCCCCUUAAGGACCCGACAUCCUCGUCGGCACACUCGCACCACACGGCAGAGUGGCUCUGAUACCAAAUUGUCACAUCCAGGGAUCGGCUCCGCCGUAGCACGAUAUUGUCCGCUUUGGGCCCCCCUCUCUGCCCUUACGGUUUUGUUUCUAGGAACUCACGAGCAACUUCCCAGUGGGUCACUCAUCCUGGGAUUGCUCUAGCCCCUAACUCGCUUAACUUCGGAGUUCCUACGACUCCGAAGCCGGUGAGCUCCCAAAAGGCCUCGUGCUAGAUGGAUGCGGGUGUGCACAUAUAAGGCACAUCACCCCCUCUCCGUUGGUUGAUGUGGGAUCUUACACCCCAUUUAUGAACGAACUUCGUACGAACCUGAAUUUUCCGAUUUCAAGGACCAAUCGAUAUUGGAUUGAGUCCAAAACUUGGGUAACAUCAUAAUAUUAUGGGAGGAGUCAUUUGGUGGGCUUUGAGUGAAAUCCAAUCCCUAGAACUUACAAUACACCAACCACUCCAUUUCAUGACGAACUUCGUAUGAACAUGGAUUGUCCGAUUUCAUGGACCAGUCGAUAUCGGAUUGAGUCCAAAACUUGGGAAACGUUGUAAUAUUGAGGGAGGAGUGAUUUGUUGCAUUUUGAGUGAAAUCCAAUCCCCAGAACUAUACAAUACACCAACCACUCCAUUUAAGAACGAACUUCGUACGAACCUGAAUUGUCAGAUUUCGAGGACCAAUCGAUAUCGUAUUGAGUCCAAAACUUGGGGAACAUGAUAGUAUUGUGGGAGGAGUCAUUUGGUGGGUUUUGAGUGAAAUCCAAUCCCUAGAACUAUACAAUACAUUAGCCAUUCCAUUUCAAAACGAACUUCGUACAAACCUGAAUUGUCAAAUUUCGUGGACCAAUCGAUAUCGGAUUGAGUCCAAAACUUGGGGAACAUCAUAAUAUUGUGGGAGGAGUCAUUUGGUGGCUUUUGAGUGAAAUCCAAUCUCUAGAACUAUACAAUACACCAACUACCCCAUUUCAGAACGAACUUCGUUGGAACCUGAAUAGUCCGAUUUCAAGGACCAGUCGAUAUCGGAUUGAGUCCAAAACUUGGGGAACAUCAUAAUAUUGUGGGAGGAGUCAUUUGGUGGCUUUUGAGUGAAAUCCAAUCUUUAGAACUAUACAAUACACCAACCACCCCAUUUCAGAACGAACUUCGUACGAACCUGAAUUGUCCAAUUUCAAGGACCAACAGAUAUCGGAUUGAGUCCGAAACUUGGGGAACAUCAUAAUAUUGGGGAGUUGUCAUUUGGUGGGUUUUGAGUGAAAUCCAAUCCCUAGAACUAUACAAUACACCAAAAACUUCAUUUCAGAAAAAACUUGUUGAGCCUAUUGUUAACAACUAAAAUGAGUUAUUAAAAACAGCAACUUUAAUUCUCGCAAGUGCACGAACCGUUUAUAGUAUAGCUUAUGUAAAUACGAGGUCGAUCCCACGGAGAAUGGUAACUUGGUUCCAAGUUAAAUUACUUAGAAUGUUAGAAAAAUAUAGAACAAAGAAACUGACUAACUAGCUAAAGGCAUGGUCGAAUUCAACAAUGCCUCUUGCUAAUUACUCAAGGUCUAGGACAGAAUCCUAGCACCACACACGCACUCGAAAUGGGGGGUUUUUUUGUUGAAAUGAAAACAAGAAAGUGAAAUGAAAGUGCUCGAAAGUGAACACUGGCAGCAAUCAACAAGUUGUGAAACAAUGAUUGAGAGGUGUUAGAGCCUUGGAAUCCACCACUAGUUUUCCUAUCCAAGUUAUGAAUGCAUAGAAAUUGACUCAAGCUUCAUUAGCAAUAGAUUAUCGCAUACAAGCCUAUGGUAUCUAGGUGCAGGAUGCAUGAUUCUCCUAAGGCAUGUGAUUAUGCAUGGUAUCUACACAACACGUGAUCUCUAAUAUGCAACCUAAGCAUGGUAUCUACUUAGAAUAAAGCAUACAAGAGUCAUUAAGCUCCUUGAGAAUAUGAUAAUCACACAAGUCCUAGAACAUGGUAUCUGUCCUAGUCAACCUAUGGUUAUUAACCCCUUGAAUGAUUCUUAGGCCAUUCAUGUGUUGCUUGUGAAAGGAGAGUAGAAUUGGUGAAUCUAAACCCCUUCCCAACCUGUGCUAGAUGCAUAAAAUCCUAGUUAGCUACUCCAAGAGAACAUACAUCAAGCACAUAAUAAACUAGAGAUUAACAACUUAAUAAUAAAAGCAAGGAAAUCAAUUAACUAUAAAAUCAUCCAUAACAUUGAAUAUUCAUGACUAGGGCUUCACCCUAAGCCCUAACUAAAUGGAUUAGUUAGACAUAACUAUGAAUACAGAAAAUAAGAAAUACAUAGAUAGGAUAAAGAGACGAGAAGAACUAGAUGAUGGGAGCAAGGAAGUUCCCAGGACAGCUCCAAGCUCCCUUCUCUCUUUGUGGUGAAUCUGAAUGUGUAUAUGAAAGUAAUGGAUGAAAUGAAUGUGUGUGUCUGCCCUCUCUCCCCUUGAAAGAGUGUGCAACUCUCUAUUUAUAGAGUGCAAUUUCGUGCUCCCCUUUGGCUGGUGAAGCACACCUCUCUUAGCUGCUGCCAACUGCUCUAGCUGCCCAUACAUGCCUGUUGCUCCAGCUGCCCAUACUUGCCUGUUGCUCCAGCUGCCCAUACUUGCCUGUUGGACUUUUCUUGGUUUUUGAGUUCCCAUACUGAUUUGUCUCCCAUGUGUGGCUGCUCUAAUGUGUAGCACAUGGCUCUAGGGAUGUAGCCACAUUAAAUAUGAUGGCAGCCAACAUGACAUUUCUGCGAACUUGGUUCAGUCUUUGACGUGUUGAGGGCUCCAGUUGUAUCCAAUUGGGCUGAACUUUGGAUAUGUUAUAAUAGACGCCCAUUGGAACAACGUCUAUGAAGGAUGUCUCCUCAUCUGACCUGUGUAAGUUACUGAAAUGAGGCCUGCAAGAUGACCUACGAAACUGGACUGACAAGGAGUGUGGCACAAAUUGGUUUUGUCUUUAAGCUCAUAUUCCACUUGUGCCACUCAGCCCUUAACAUGCAUGAAUUGUAUCAAAUGUCAUCCCCUUGCUAUAUUAACCUACAAAGCACACAAACAUAGGUAAGAGACUCAAAAUAAAGAGAAGCUAACAAAAUUACUAAGGAAAGAAGGCAUGCAAAUGUGUGAAAUUAUGAACUUAUCAAAUACCCCAAAACUUAGAUUUUGCUAGUCCUCGAGCAAAACAAAAUAAAACUACAACUUAGGAAACAGGAAAUAAGCAACUAGCCUUCCAAACAAUAUCCUCAAAGAAUCAUCAGUGUAAAUGGUUCCAAAGAAACACAACAAUCACAAUCUAAGUUCCACACAUGAUUCACGAGAAAGCAAAGCUAGCAUUGACACCCUUAAGUGUAGUGUGUGAAUGCCAAAUCCGAACAACACCUGCAUCUCAAAUAAGUACAUGUGCACACACUUAGAGCAAAAUCAAGAAUUCCGAACCCCAUAAGCUCAUUAUCCAAUCUGCUCUCCACAGUAAUACCAUGCAACACCAAGGAUCAAAAGGACUUUACAAGGGUAGUAAUGAGGUUUAGGGUAGUGGUUGAAUGAAAGAAGGGAUAUGAGAUAUACAAUAUUUUGAGCACACUUAAAGCACAGGUAAGAGCAUAAGAGAGUACUGAACUUUGUAACAAGCAAGGAACACAUACAUGAGCAGAUUUUCAACAUAAUUUCAGCACCUUGAAAUGUGUUUAUUUGGCCUAAUUUUGUGGCUCUUUACCCUAGAUCACAAUGAUGUUCUCCUUAUAACACCCUAGGGCCGUGACUACAUUGGUCACACUUCAUUACCUCUUUUGAUUAGUUACCAAUACCCCCAAACUUAUUUCUUUUCAACACUUGGGUUACGGCACCAAUUAUUCACUUUUGCUCUAUAAACCUUGCAUUCUUUAUAACUCUCUUUUGAAGAUAACUUUAAUUGCUCAUACAAUAAGUAAGGAUAAGAAAACAGAGGCUCAUUAUGGUAGGAUUCAUUUACACAAAGAAAGGCUUAACGUAGGCUCAAAUGGGAUGACUAGGGAUGAAUACAUGUAGAGGGAUGGUUAGAAAGGCUCAAACGGUUCAAACAUGGCCUAAAUCACUUCCUAAGCAUUGUAUGGCAACAAAAUGUCUCAAGAAAUAUUCAAAUAAGUUCUAGAGUACGAAACCAAGAUCAUGAGAUAACUAGAAUUGCAUAACGUCUCUAAGUAGCAAGAUGUUGGACUAACUUGGCAAAGUGCUCAAUAAGUGCAAGGAUGGCAUGCAGGACAAAGUUAACUUAGAAUCACACGCAGACCUUAAACAAUGACUAUCAAUUUCUGAAAAACCAUAAUAGUAUUAAAUCUAAGUCUUUAUCAUAGGUGUUUGGAAGGAUAACGAAACAACACACAAAAUCCUGCGUUUUUAGACAGUAGACACACUCAAAAAUUUUAAAAUUUGACAAUUUGAAACAGCAUAACUAAAUCCUUCCCCCCAAACUUAAAUGAAACAUUGUCCUCAAUGUUUAGAGUGUAAGAAAAAGCAAUGCCUCAUUAAUGAAAGGAAAGAAGACAAGGGAAAGACAUAACCAAAGGUUAGAUUUCAGAAAAACUCCCCUUUGAAGCGAUUAGGAUGCAAGCAAGCUUCCUCGCAUAUUCUAUCUUCUCCUCAUCACCUUGGGUUGCCUCCCAAGAAGCGCUAAGUUUCACGUCGUCAGCCGGACGUCCAAACUCUGGUGAGCUUUAAGAGAGUGGUGGAGGCUCCUUGAGUGCUUGAGACUCAAUAUUGGCAUCAAAGUUGGCAUCGAAGUAAGGUUUCAACCGAUGUCCAUUCACCUUGAAGGUGCUGCCAUCCUUAAUGUUUUGAAUCUCCACUGCGCCAUGAUUAAACACAUUAGUAAUAACAAAAGGGCCAAUCCACCGAGAACAAAGCUUACCUGGGAAGAGCUUAAGGCGUGAAUUGAAUAAGAGAACCUUCUGCCCUUUCUCAAACGUCUUCCUAAGAAUUUUCUUGUCGUGAUAUUGCUUUGUUUUCUCCUUGUAAAGCUUCGCAUUCUUAUACGCUUCAUGUCUCAACUCCUCCAGCUCAUUGAGUUGAAGCCUCCUCUUCUCACCAGCGGCUUUCAUAUCAAAAUUGAAGGCCUUGAUUGCCCAAUAAGCCCUGUGCUCAAGCUCCACUGGUAAGUGACAAGGUUUACCGAAAAUAAGUCUAUACGGAGACAUACCUAUAGGGGUCUUAUAAGCAGUCCUAUAAGCCCACAAUGCAUCAUCCAAACGCAUGGACCAAUCCUUCCUUGUGGUGUUCACUGUCUUUUCAAGUAUGUACUUAAUCUCCCUAUUGCUUAUAUCAACCUGCCCACUAGUUUGAGGAUGAUAGGGUGUUGCCACCUUAUGCGUGAUUCCAUAUCUCUUCAAGAGUGCUGCAAAAGCUUGGUUAACAAAGUGGGAGCCACCAUCACUAAUGAUUGCUCUAGGUGUGCCAAACCUUGUAAAAAUAUUUCCUUUGAGAAAACCGAUCACAACUUUAGCAUCAUUAGUUCUAGUGGCAAUGGCUUCCACCCAUUUAGAAACAUAAUCGACAGAAACUAAUAUAUAUUCAAAUCCAUAAGAGGUAGGAAAAGGGCCCAUGAAAUCAAUUCCCCAAACAUCAAAUAUAUCAAUGAUUAAGAUAUUGGUGAGAGGCAUCUGGUUUCUAGCAUGUAAAUUACCCAUCCGUUGGCAUCUAUCACAUGAAGCACAAAAAACAUAAGCAUCCUUAAAAAGGGUAGGCCAAAAGAAACCUGAUUGUAGCACCUUGCUGGCAGUCUUCUUUGCUCCAAAAUGGCCUCCGCAUGCGUGGGAGUGACAAAACUCCAGAAUGCUCUUAAAAUCACCUUCAGGCACACACCUUCGAAUUACUUGGUCUGGACAAUGCUUGAAUAGAUAGGGAUCAUCCCAAAAGUAGUAUCUUGCUUGCUUCCUAAGCUUGUCACGUUGGAACGUAGAUAACCCUGUAGGGAGUUCGUUAGUGCACAAAUAGUUAACAAUAUCAGCAAACCAAGGCAAUGGAUUGAGAGAAUUCAAAGCACAAAUGGAGAAGAGUUGCUCAUCAGGGAAGCUUUCACGCAAUGGCAAUGAAUCCUCCUCUUCGUUAGAUACAUGCACCAAUCUACUCAAGUGAUCAGCCACGACAUUCUCACUUCCUUUCUUAUCUUUUAUCUCCAAGUCAAACUCUUGCAACAAGAGAAUCCAUCUAAUGAGUCGCGGUUUGGCAUCCUUCUUAGCUAACAAGUAUUUCAAUGCUGCAUGAUCAGUGUAAACAAUAACCUUGUUAGUAAUCAAAUAUGAUCUAAACUUCUCUAAAGCAAAUAUGACGGCUAACAACUCCUUCUCUGUGGUGGAAUAGUUGAGUUGGGCAUCGUUGAGGGUUCUACUAGCAUAGUAGAUGGCAUGUGGCUUCUUAUCAACUCGCUGUCCCAAAACAGCUCCAACAACAUAAUCUGAGGCAUCACACAUCAAUUCAAAGGGCAAGCUCCAAUCCGGUGGUAUAAUGACUGGGGCAGUUGUGAGCAUCUUCUUCAAAGCAUUGAAAGCAUUCUCACAGUCUUGAUCAAACACAAAAUCCAUGUCCUUGGCAAGGAGAUUGCACAUAGGCCUUGCAAUCUUAGAAAAAUCCUUAAUGAAACGCCUAUAGAAACCUGCAUGGCCAAGGAAAGAACGUACUUCUUUGACAGAAGUAGGUGAGGGCAUAGAGGCAAUCAAAUCAAUCUUAGCUUUAUCUACCUCAAUUCCUUUACUAGAGAUGACAUGACCAAGAACUAUGCCUUGGUUAACAAUAAAAUGACAUUUUUCCCAAUUAAGCACAAGGUUAGUAUGUUCACAUCUAGCCAACACCUUGGAUAAGUUAUGCAAGCAUUGAUCAAAAGAAUCACCAAAGACAGAGAAGUCAUCCAUGAAUACCUCAAUGAACCUUUCUACCAUGUCGGAGAAAAUGCUCAUCAUGCACCUUUGAAAAGUGGCUGGGGCGUUACAGAGACCAAAAGGCAUCCUCCUAUAGGCGAAAGUGCCAAAGGGACAUGUGAACGUGGUCGAUCCGCAGGCCGUGCAGCUAUGGCGAUUUGGUUGUAGCCUGAAUAUCCAUCAAGGAAGCAAUAGUGGCUAUGCCCAGCUAAUCUCUCAAGCAUUUGAUCAAUGAAUGGAAGAGGAAAGUGAUCUUUGCUUGUUGCUGUGUUGAGCUUCCUAUAAUCAAUGCAAACUCUCCAGCCCGUGGUCAUCCGUGUAGGUACAAGCUCGUUUGCUUCAUUCUUCACCACUGUGAUACCUGACUUCUUGGGGACAACUUGCACUGGGCUCACCCAUUGACUGUCAGAAAUAGGGUAAAUAAUACCAACAUUUAAAAGCUUCAUUACCUCUUUUCUUACCACCUCCUUCAUGUUUGGAUUGAGACGUCUUUGGGCAUCCCUCUUAGGCAUUGCAUUGUCUUCCAAUAAUAUCUUGUGCAUGCACAGUGUUGGGCUUAUGCCUUUGAUAUUUGCAAUGCUCCACCCAAUCGCAGUUUUGUGCUCUUUUAGAACUCUCAAAAGCUUCUUUUCAUCAUUUGGUCCGAGAUGUGAGGCAAUGAUAACAGGUAGAGUCUCAUUUUCACCUAAAUAAGCAUAUUUAAGGUGUUUUGGCAAUUGCUUUAAUUCCAACUCUGGUGCCUGCACAAUAGAAGGUAAAACCUUAUUAGUAGGUGGGGGUAAUGAUUCAAAUUGGUUUGCAUACCUCUUUCCAAUUUCUAUGUAGCUAUCCAUGCUGCAAACAAGCUCAAGAAGUAAAAAGAUCACAGCCUCAAAGCUGUCCACUUCUUCUUUCCUUAUGCUUUGUGUGAUGCAUGCUUCAAUGGGCUCCAAAUAACUCAUUGGCAGUGCUUCUUUCACCAUAGUAUCAAUUGCAUCAAGAUGGAAAACUUCAUGCUCAUCACUUGGAAACUUGGAGGCUUCAAACACUUUGAAUGCUAUUGUCUCAUCAAACACAUUCAUGGUCAAUGUACCCUUCUUCACAUCAAUAAUAGCACCGGCAGUUGCCAUGAAUGGCCGACCUAGAAUGAGUGGUAACUGAUUGUCAUGAAUUGGUGCUUCUUCCAUCUCCAACACCAAGAAAUCUGCUGGCAAAAUUAGCUCUUCCACUUUCACCAAAACAUCUUCUAGAAUGCCCUUAGGGUACCUAAUAGUUCUAUCUGCCAAUUGAAUGCUCACAGAUGUGGCUUGCAACUCACCAAGGUUAAGUUUCUCAUAAACAUGAUAUGGCAUAAGAUUUAUAGAAGCACCAAGAUCAAGCAAAGCUUUUUGAAACUUAAAAUCACCAACUAUGCAAGGUAUAGAAAACGAACCUGGAUCCUUUAGCUUUGGAGGCAGGUUUCUUUGUAACACUGCACUUACCUCUUCACUCAAUGCAACUUGUUCAUGCUCUUUGAAUCUCCUCUUGUUAGUGCAUAGAUCCUUCAAAAAAUUUGCAUACUUUGGAAUCUGAGUAAUGGCAUUGAGCAAUGGGAUGUUGAUUUGCACCUUCUUGAAUGUUUCCAUUAUCUCAUCCAAGCCUUGAUCUUUCUUUGACUUUGAUAACCUGCUGGGAAAGGGUGCAAUAGGCCUAAAAGCAUUAGUUGAAAUUGGAACUUGAUUAGCAUUAGAUGAUACCUUAGGGCCUGUGCUCUUUCCAGGAGCAUUGAUGGACUGAUUGUUGGAAGCUGUGGGCUGCCCAUGUGGUGGCUGAAUGAUCUCCACGUUUUCUCCAUCUUCUUGUUCUUCAUUGGCAUCUCCAACCUUAUUAUCAACUUGUUUACCACUUCUCAAGAUGUGUACUGCUUUAGCAUGCUCUUGAUGCCUUGGAUUCACCUCCGUUUGGCUUGGGAAAGUUCCGGAUGCUCUAUUGCUCAUGGAGGAUGCAAUCUGCCCAACUUGCACUUCUAGUUUGUUCACUGCAUUUUGAAGAUUCUGAUUGGUUUGCAUCUGUUGCCCCAUGAACUUCUUGAACAUGUCUUGCAAUUCUCCCAUUUGAUCACCCCUUUGCUCUUGCACUUGUUGCGGAGCUUGUUGGAAUUGCCUUUGUUGUGUUUGGAAUCCUGGGGGAGGUCCUUGAGAUUGUUGCACAUUUGAAUUGUUGCUCCACCUGAAAUUAGGAUGAUUUCUCCACCCCGGAUUGUAUGUGUUUGAGUAAGGAUCAUUAUUAGGAUUCCUUGCUUGAAGGGAAUUUGCUUGUUCUAGCAUGUGCUCCGCAAAAGAUUGGUCUACAAACUUCCACUUUGUUUCCUAGAGGGCCAGUCACUGCCUGUUGAAGCAAAGAACACAUAACAUCAAGUUUUGCAGCAAUUUCAUUAUUAGUACUUACCUCAGAGACCACAGCUUUCAUAGGAGCUCCUCUUCCUUUAUUGUGGCUCCAUUGUUGAGAGUUAGCACUCAAGGAUUCAAAGAGAGUAAAAGCCUCAUCUGCUGUUUUGUUCAUCAGUCCUUCUCCACUUGUUGAAUCUACCAUCAUCCUUUCGGAAUCAAGUAAACCUUCAUAGAAAGAUUGCAUUUGCAUCCAACUCUCUAUGUUGUGGUGUGGGCAAGAACUUAUCAUCUCCUUGUACCUCUCCCAACAUUCAUGAAAAGCUUCUCCUUCCUUUUGUGUGAAACCAAGAAUUUCCUUUCUAAUCUUGUUAGUCUUUUGAGCCGGAAAAAAUUUCUGCAAAAACUUAUUAGAAAGCUCUUCCCAAGUAUGAAUUGAAGCAUUAGGAAAAGAGUAUAACCAAGACUUAGCUUUAUCUUUUAAACUGAAUGGGAAUAGCCUCAUCUUAAUCUGCUCAUCAUCAAGGUUUUGAAUUUUGAUCGUAGCACAUAUUUCAAAGAAUUGCUUAAUAUGCAUGUAAGGAUCCUCAGUGGUAUUACCAUAAUAAGUUGGAAGAAGAUGAAUCAUACCACUUUUAAGCUCAAACCUGUCAACUGUGAGUUGAGGAUAGACGAUGCAUAAAGGUUGAUCGGUGACUUUGGGAAUGGAAAACUCACGCAGGGAUUUUCUUGGUUGGACAACAAGCACACCACCUCCUUCAUCAUUGUUGUUGUUCGAAAUCUCUACCAUGUUGCUUGAACCUUCAGAUUCGUAACUUUUAGAUUCAACGCUUGAAGAACUAUAGUUCUUCCUCAAACCAGCAUGCACAGCAGCGGUUCUUGGUGAAAGUGGCUCAGGUGAACUUUGCUCCUGGUCAGAUUCGGACAUGCACACACCAAGGAAGUCAAUUCAGUGCCUUCAAUGGAGAUAACAACAAAAUACAAAACUGAAUACUAAAAGAAAAACCAACGAAAAGAAACAAAUGAAAUAAACAAAAACAAAACAAUCAAAGUAAUCUAACUAUAGCACCAUCAUUACCGGUUCCCCGGCAACGGCGCCAAAAACUUGUUGAGCCUAUUGUUAACAACUAAAAUGAGUUAUUAAAAACAGCAACUUUAAUUCUCGCAAGUGCACGAACCGUUUAUAGUAUAGCUUAUGUAAAUACGAGGUCGAUCCCACGGAGAGUGGUAACUUGGUUCCAAGUUAAAUUACUUAGAAUGUUAGAAAAAUAUAGAACAAAGAAACUGACUAACUAGCUAAAGGCAUGGUCGAAUUCAACAAUGCCUCUUGCUAAUUACUCAAGGUCUAGGACAGAAUCCUAGCACCACACACGCACUCGAAAUGGGGGGUUUUGUUGUUGAAAUGAAAACAAGGAAGUGAAAUGAAAGUGCUCGAAAGUGAACACUGGUAGCAAUCAACAAGUUGUGAAACAAUGAUUGAGAGGUGUUAGAGCCUUGGAAUCCACCACUAGUUUUCCUAUCCAAGUUAUGAAUGCAUAGAAAUUGACUCAAGCUUCAUUAGCAAUAGAUUAUCGCAUACAAGCCUAUGGUAUCUAGGUGCAGGAUGCAUGAUUCUCCUAAGGCAUGUGAUUAUGCAUGGUAUCUACACAACACGUGAUCUCUAAUAUGCAACCUAAGCAUGGUAUCUACUUAGAAUAAAGCAUACAAGAGUCAUUAAGCUCCUUGAGAAUAUGAUAAUCACACAAGUCCUAGAACAUGGUAUCUGUCCUAGUCAACCUAUGGUUAUUAACCCCUUGAAUGAUUCUUAGGCCAUUCAUGUGUUGCUUGUGAAAGGAGAGUAGAAUAGGUGAAUCUAAACCCCUUCCCAACCUAUGCUAGAUGCAUAAAAUCCUAGUUAGCUACUCCAAGAGAACAUACAUCAAGCACAUAAUAAACUAGAGAUUAACAACUUGAUAAUAAAAGCAAGGAAAUCAAUUAACUAUAAAAUCAUCCAUAACAUUGAAUAUUCAUGACUAGGGCUUCAUCCUAAGCCCUAACUAAAUGGAUUAGUUAGACAUAACUAUGAAUACAGAAAAUAAGAAAUACAUAGAUAGGAUAAAGAGACGAGAAGAACUAGAUGAUGGGAGCAAGGAAGUUCCCAGGACAGCUCCAAGCUCCCUUCUCUCUUUGUGGUGAAUCUGAAUGUGUGUAUGAAAGUAAUGGAUGAAAUGAAUGUGUGUGUCUGCCCUCUCUCCCCUUGAAUGAGUGUGCAACUCUCUAUUUAUAGAGUGCAAUUUCGUGCUCCCCUUUGGCUGGUGAAGCACACCUCUCUUAGCUGCUGCCAACUGCUCUAGCUGCCCAUACAUGCCUGUUGCUCCAGCUGCCCAUACUUGCCUGUUGGACUUUUCUUGGUUUUUGAGUUCCCAUACUGAUUUGUCUCCCAUGUGUGGCUGCUCUAAUGUGUAGCACAUGGCUCUAGGGAUGUAGCCACAUUAAAUAUGAUGGCAGCCAACACGAUAUUUCUGUGAACUUGGUUCAGUCUUUGACGUGUUGAGGGCUCCAGUUUUAUCCAAUUGGGCUGAAAUUUGGAUAUGUUAUAAUAGACACCCAUUGGAACAACGUCUAUGAAGGAUGUCUCCUCAUCCGACCUGUGUAAGUUACUGAAAUGAGGCCUGCAAGAUGACCUACGAAACUGGACUGACAAGGAGUGUGGCACAAAUUGGUUUUGUCUUUAAGCUCAUAUUCCUCUUGUGCCACUCAGCCCUUAACAUGCAUGAAUUGUAUCAAAUGUCAUCCCCUUGCUAUCUUAACCUACAAAGCACACAAACAUAGGUAAGAGACUCAAAAUAAAGAGAAGCUAACAAAAUUACUAAGGAAAGAAGGCAUGCAAAUGUGUGAAAUUAUGAACUUAUCAAAUACCCCCAAACUUAGAUUUUGCUAGUCCUCGAGCAAAACAAAAUAAAACUACAACUUAGGAAACAGGAAAUAAGCAACUAGCCUUCCAAACAAUAUCCUCAAAGAAUCAUCAGUGUAAAUGGUUCGAAAGAAACACAACAAUCACAAUCUAAGUUCCACACAUGAUUCACGAGAAAGCAAAGCUAGCAUUGACACCCUUAAGUGUAGUGUGUGAAUGCCAAAUCCGAACAACACCUGCAUCUCAAAUAAGUACAUGUGCACACACUUAGAGCAAAAUCAAGAAUGCCGAACCCCAUAAGCUCAUUAUUCAAUCUGCUCUCCAUAGUAAUACCAUGCAACACCAAGGAUCAAAAGGAGUUUACAAGGGUAGUAAUGAGGUUUAGGGUAGUGGUUGAAUGAAAGAAGGGAUAUGAGAUAUACAAUAUUUUGAGCACACUUAAAGCACAGGUAAGAGCAUAAGAGAGUACUGAACUUUGUAACAAGCAAGGAACACAUACAUGAGCAGAUUUUCAACAUAAUUUCAGCACCUUGAAAUGUGUUUAUUUGGCCUAAUUUUGUGGCUCUUACCCUAGAUCACAUUGAAAUGUGNNNNNNNNNNNNNNNNNNNNNNNNNNNNNNNNNNNNNNNNNNNNNNNNNNNNNNNNNNNNNNNNNNNNNNNNNNNNNNNNNNNNNNNNNNNNNNNNNNNNNNNNNNNNNNCUCCUCGCUCAUUGCGACAGUAGUGUAUUUCAACACUUGGGUUACGGCACCAAUUAUUCACUUUUGCUCAAUAAACCUUGCAUUCUUUAUAACUCUCUUUUGAAGAUAACUUUAAUUGCUCAUACAAUAAGUAAGGAUAAGAAAACAGAGGCUCAUUAUGGUAGGAUUCGUUUACACAAAGAAAGGCUUAACAUAGGCUCAAAUGGGAUGACUAGGGAUGAAUACAUGUAGAGGGAUGGUUAGAAAGGCUCAAACGGUUCAAACAUGGCCUAAAUCACUUCCUAAGCAUUGUAUGGCAACAAAAUGUCUCAAGAAAUAUUCAAAUAAGUUCUAGAGUACGAAACCAAGAUCAUGAGAUAAGUCCGAUUUCAAGGACCAAUCGAUAUCAGAACGAACUUCGUUGGAACCUGAAUAGUCCGAUUUCAAGGACCAAUCGAUAUCGGAUUGAGUCCAAAACUUGGGGAACAUCAUAAUAUUGUGGGAGGAGUCAUUUGGUGGCUUUUGAGUGAAAUCCAAACUUUAGAACUAUACAAUACACCAACCACCCCAUUUCAGAACGAACUUCGUACGAACCUGAAUUGUCCGAUUUCAAGGACCAAUCGAUAUCGGAUUGAGUCCAAAACUUGGGGAACAUCAUAAUAUUGUGGGAGUUGUCAUUUGGUGGGUUUUGAGUGAAAUCCAAUCCCUAGAACUAUACAAUACACCAAAAACUUCAUUUCAGAACGAACUUCGUACGAACUUGAAUUGUCUGAUUUCAUGGACCAUUCGAUAUCAGAUUGAGUCCAAAACUUGGGGGACAUCAUAGUAUUGUGGGAGGAGUCAUUUGGUGGCUUUUGGGUGAAAUCCAAUCCAGACAACUAUAAAAUACACCGACCACUCCAUUUCAGAACGACCUUCAUACGAACUUGAACUGUCAGAUUUCAUUGACUAAUCGAUAUCGGAUUGAGUCCAAAACUUGGGGAACACCAUAAUAUUAUGGGAGGAGUCAUUUGGUGGGUUUUGAGUGAAAUCCAAUCUCUAGAACUAUACAAUACACCGACCACCCCAUUUCAGAACAAACUUCGUACGAACCUGAAUUGUCCGAUUUCAAGGACCAAUCGAUAUCGGAUUGAGUCCAAAACUUGGGGAACAUCAUAAUAUUGUGGGAGGAGUCAUUUGGUGGGUUUUGAGUGAAAUCCAAUCCCUAGAACUAUACAAUACACCAACCACCCCAUUUCAAAACGAACUUCGUACGAAACUGAAUUGUCUGAUUUCAUUGACCAAUUGAUCACAGAUUGAGUCCAAAACUUGGGGAACAUCAUAAUAUUGUGGGAGGAGUCAUUUGGUAAGUUUUCAGUGCAAUACAAUCCCUAGAACUAUACAAUACACCAACCACUCCAUUUCAGAACGAACUUCGUACAAACCUGAAUUGUCAAAUUUCGUGGACCACUCGAUAUCCGAUUGAGUCCGAAACUUGGGGAACAUCAUAAUAUUGUGGGAGGAGUCAUUUGGUGGGUUUGAGUGAAAUCCAAUCUCUAGAACUANNNNNNNNNNNNNNNNNNNNNNNNNNNNNNNNNNNNNNNNNNNNNNNNNNNNNNNNNNNNNNNNNNNNNNNNNNNNNNNNNNNNNNNNNNNNNNNNNNNNUGGGGAACAUCAUAAUAUUGUGGGAGGAGUCAUUUGGUGGGUUUCGAGUGAAAUCCAAUCUCUAGAACUAUACAACACACCAACCACCCCAUUACAGAACGAACUUAGUAGGAACCUGAUUUGUCCGAUUUCAAGGACCAAUAGAUAUAGGAUUGACUCCAAAACUUGGGGAACAUCAUAAUAUUGUGGGAGGAGUCAUUUGGUGUGUUUUUAGUGAAAUCCAUUCUCUAGAACUAUACAAUACACCAACCACCCCAUUUCAGAAGGAACUUCGUACGAGCCUGAAUUGUCCGAUUUCAAGGACAAAUCGAUAUCGGAUUGAGUCCAAAACUUGGGGAACAUCAUAAUAUUGUGGGAGGAGUCAUUUGGUGGGUUUUGAGUGAAAUUCAAUCUCUAGAAUGAUACAAUACACCAACCACCCCAUUUCAGAAUGAACUUCGUACGAAUCUGAAUUGUCAGAUUUCAAGGUCCAAUCGAUAUCGGAUUGAGUCCAAAAAUUGGGGAACAUCAUAAUAUUGUGGGAGUUGUCAUUUGGCGGGUUUUGAAUGAAAUCCAAUCCCUAGAACUAUCCAAUACACCAACCCCUCCACUUCAGAAGGAACUUCAUACGAACUUGAAUUGUCAAAUUUCGUAGACCAAUCGAUAUCGGAUUGUGUCCAAAACUUGGGGAACAUCAUAAUAUUGUGGGAGCCGUCAUUUGGUGGGUUUUGAGUGAAAUCCAAUCUUUAGAACUAUACAAUACACCAACCACUCCAUUUCAUAACGAACUUCGUACUAACCUGCAUUCUCAAAUUUCGUGGACUGAUCGAUAUCGGAUUGAGUCCAAAACUUGGGGAACAUUAUAAUAUUGUGGGAGGAGUCACUUGGUGGGUUUUGAGUGAAAUCCAAUCUCUAGAACUAUACAAUACACCAACCACCCCAUUUCAGAAUGAACUUCGUAGGAACCUGAAUUGUCCGAUUUGAAGGACCAAUCGACAUCGGAUUGAGUCCAAAACUUGGGGAACAUCAUAAUAUUGUGGGAGGAGUCAUUUGGUAAGUUUUGAGUGAAAUACAAUCCCUAGAACCAUACAAUACACCACCCACUACAUUUCAGAACGAACUUCGUACGAACUUGAAUUGUCAAAUUUCGUGGACCGAUCGAUAUCGGAUUGAGUCCAAAACUUGGGGAGCAUAAUAAUCUUGUGGGAGGAGUCAUUUGGGGGGUUUUGAGUGAAAUCCAUUCUCUAGAACCAUACAAUACACCAACCACCCCAUUUCAGAACGAACUUCGUACGAACCUGAAUUGUCCGAUUUGAAGGACCAAUCGAUAUCGGAUUGAGUCCAAAACUUGGGGAACAACAUAAUAUUGUGGGAGGAGUCAUUUGGUUCGUUUUGAUUGAAAUCCAAUCUCUAGAACUAUACAAUACACCAACCACCCCAUUUCAGAACGAACUUCGUAGGAACCUGAAUUGUCCGAUUUCACGGACCAAUCGAUAUCGGAUUGAGUCCAAAACUUGGGGAACAUCAUAAUAUUGUUGGAGGAGUCAUUUGGUGGGUUUUGAGUGAAAUCCAAUCUCUAGAAUUAUACAAUACACCAACCACCCCAUUUCAGAACGAACUUCGUACGAACCUGAANNNNNNNNNNNNNNNNNNNNNNNNNNNNNNNNNNNNNNNNNNNNNNNNNNNNNNNNNNNNNNNNNNNNNNNNNNNNNNNNNNNNNNNNNNNNNNNNNNNNNNNNNNNNNNNNNNNNNNNNNNNNNNNNNNNNNNNNNNNNNNNNNNNNNNNNNNNNNNNNNNNNNNNNNNNNNNNUAAGGACCAAUCGAUAUCGGAUCAGUCCAAAACUUGGGGAACAUCAUAAUAUUGUGGAGGGAGCCAUUUGGUAAUUUUUGAGUGAAAUACAUUCCCAAGAACUAUACAAUUCACCACCCAGUCAAUUUCAGAACGAAAUUGAUGGGAACUUGAAUAUUCAAAUUUCAUGGACCAAUUAAUAUCGGAUUGAUUCCAAAACUUGGGGAAAAUCAUAAUUUGUUGGGGGUAGUCAUUUGGGGGGUUUUGAGUGAAAUCCAUUCUCUGGAACUAUCCAAUACACCAACCACCCCAUUUCAGAAGGAAUUUGGUACGAACCUGAAUGUCCGAUUUGAAGGACCAAUCGAUAUCGGAUUGAGUCAAAAACUUGGGGAACACCAUAAUAUUGUGGGAGGAGUCAUUUGGUUCGUUUUGAGUGAAAUCCAAUCUCUAGAAUUAUACAAUACACCAACCACCCCAUUUCAGAAUGAACUUCGUAGGAACCUGAAUUGUCCGAUUUCAAGGAGCAAUCGAUAUCGGAUUGAGUCCAAAACUUGGGGAACAUCAUAAUCUUGUGGGACGAGUCAUUUGGUGGGUUCUGAGUGAAAUCCAAUCUUUAGAACUAUACAAUACACCAACCACCCCAUUUCAGAAUGAACUUCGUCGGAACCUGAAUUGUCCGAUUUUAAGGACCAAUCGAUAUCGGAUUGAGUCCAAAACUUGGGGAACAUCAUAAUAUUGUGGAAGGAACCAUUUGGUAAGUUUUGAGUGAAAUACAAUCCCCAGAACUAUACAAUUCACCACCCACUCAAUUUCAGAACGAACUUCGUGCGAACUUGAAUUGUCAAAUUUCGUGGACCGAUCGAUAUCGGAUUGAGUCCAAAACUUGGGGAGCAUCAUAAUCUUGUGGGAUUAGUCAUUUGGGGGGUUUUGAGUGAAAUCCAUUCUCUAGAACUAUACAAUACACCAACCACCCCAUUUCAGAACGAACUUCGUACGAACCUGAAUGUCCGAUUUGAAGGACCAAUCGAUAUCGGAUUGAGUCCAAAACUUGGGGAACACCAUAAUAUUGUGGGAGGAGUCAUUUGGUUCAUUUUGAGUGAAAUCCAAUCUCUAGAAUAUACAAUACACCAACCACCCCAUUUCAGAAUGAACUUCGUACGAACCUGAAUUGUCCAAUUUCAAGGACCAAUCGAUAUCGGAUGAGUACAAAAGUUGGGGAACGUCAUAAUAUUGUGGGAGGAGUCAUUUGGUGGGUUUUGAGUGAAAUACAAUCUCUAGACCUAUACAAUACACCAACCACCCCAUUUCAGAACGAACUUCGUACGAACCUGAAUUGUCCGAUUUCAAGGACCAAUCGAUAUCGGAUUGAGUCCAAAACUUGGGGAACAUCAGAAUAUUGUGGGAGCAGUCAUUUGGUGCGUUUUGAGUGAAAUCCAAUCUUUAGAACUAUACAAUACACCAACCACCUCAUUUCAGAACGAACUUCGUACGAACCUGAAUUGUCCAAUUUCAAGGACCAAUCGAUAUCGGACUGAGUACAAAGGUUGGGGAACGUCAUAAUAUUGUGGGAGGAGUCAUUUGGUGGGUUUUGAGUGAAAUCCAAUCUCUAGACCUAUACAAUACACCAACCUCCUCAUUUUAGAACGCACUUCGUACGAAUCUGAAUUGUCCGAUUUGAAGGACCAAUUGAUAUCGGAUUGAGUCCAAAACUUGUGGAACAUCAUAAUCUUGUGGGAGGAGUCAUUUGGUGGUUUUGAGUGAAAUCCAAUCUCUAGAACUAUACAAUACACCAACCACCCCAUUUCAGAAUGAACUUCGUAGGAACCUGAAUUGUCCGAUUUCAAGGACCAAUCGAUAUCGGAUUGAGUCCAAAACUUGGGGAACAUCAUAAUAUUGUGGGAGGAGUCAUUUGGUAAGUUUUGAGUGAAAUACAAUCCCCAGAACCAUACAAUUCACUGCCCAUUCCAUUUAGAACGAAUUAGUAAAAACGUGAAUUGUCAAAUUUUGUGGACCGAUGGAUUCGGAUUGAGUCCAAAACUUGGGGAGCAUCAUAAUCUUGUGGGAGGAGUCAUUUGGGGGGUUUUGAGUGAAAUCCAUUCUCUAGAACUAUACAAUACACCAACCACCCCAUUUCAGAACGAACUUCGUACGAACCUGAAUUGUCCGAUUUGAAGGACCAAUCGAUAUCGGAUUGAGUGCAAAACUUGGGGAACACCAUAAUAUUGUGGGGGGAGUCAUUUGGUUCGUUUUGAGUGAAAUCCAAUCUCUAGAAUUAUACAAUACACCAACCACCCCAUUUAAAAAUGAACUUCGUAGGAACCUGAAUUGUCCGAUUUCAAGGACCAAUCGAUAUCGGACUGAGUCUAAAGGUUGGGGAACAUCAUAAUAUUGUGGGAGGAGUCAUUUGUUGGUUUUGAGUGAUAUCCAAUCUCUAAAACUAUACAAUACACCAACCACCCCACUUAUGAACGAACUUCGUACGAACCUGAAUUGUCCGAUUUCAAGUACCAAUCGAUAUCGGAUUGAGUCUGAAACUUGGGGAACAUCAUAAUAUUGUGGGAGGAAUCAUUUGGUGGGUUUUGACUGAAAUCCAAUCUCUAGACCUAUACAAUACACCAACCUCCUCAUUUCAGAACGAACUUCGUACGAACUUGAAUUGUCCGAUUUCAAGGACCAAUUGAUAUCGGAUUGAGUCCAAAACUUGGGGAACAUCAUAAUCUUGUGGGAGGAGAAAUUUGGUGGUUUUGAGUGAAAUCCAAUCUCUAGAACUAUACAAUACACCAACGACUCCAUUUCAGAACGAACUUCGUACGAACCUGAAUUGUCCGAUUUCAUUGACCAGUCGAUAACGGAUUGAGUCCAAAAGAUGGGGAACAUCAUAAUAUUGUGGGAGGAGUCAUUUGGUAUGUUUUGAGUGAAAUACAAUCCCUAGAACUAUACAAUACACCAACCACUCCAUUUCAGAAUGAACUUCGUACGAACCUGAAUUGUCAAAUUUCGUGGACCGAUCGAUAUCGGAUUGAGUCCAAAACUUGGGGAACAUCAUAAUAUUGUGGGAGGAGUCAUUUGGUGCGUUUUGAGUGAAAUCCAACCUCUAGAGCUAUACAAUGCACCAAUCACCCCAUUUCAGAACGAACUUCGUACGAACAUGAAUUGUCCGAUUUCAAGGACCAAUCGAUAUCGGAUUGAGUCCAAAAGUUGGGAAACAUCAUAAUAUUGUGGGAGGAGUCAUUUGGUGGGUUUUGGGUGAAAUCCAAUCUCUAGACCUAUACAAUACACCAACCUCCUCAUUUCAGAACGAACUUCGUACGAACCUGAAUUGUCCGAUUUCAAGGACCAAUCUAUAUCGGACAGAGUCCAAAAGUUGGGGAACGUCAUAAUAUUGUGGGAGGAAUCAUUUGGUAAGUUUUGAGUGAAAUACAAUCCCCAGAACCAUACAAUACACCAACCACCCCAUUUCAGAACGAACUUUGUACGAACCUGAAUUCUCCGAUUUCAAGGACCAAUCGAUAUUGGAUUGAGUCCAAAACUUGGGGAGCAACAUAAUCUUGUGGGAGGAGUAAUUUGGUGGGUUUUUAGUGAAAUCCAAUCUCUAGAACUAUACAAUACACCACCCACCCCAUUUCAGAACGAACUUCGUACGGACCUGAAUUGUCCGAUUUCAAGGACCAAUCGAUAUCGGAUUGAGUCCAAAACUUGGGGAACAUUAUAAUAUUGUGGGAGGAGUCACUUGGUGGGUUUUGAGUGAAAUCCAAUCUCUAGAACUAUACAAUACCCCAACCACCCCAUUUCAGAACGAACUUCGUAGGAACCUGAAUUGUCCGAUUUCAUGGACCAAUCGAUAUCGGAUUGAGUCCAAAACUUGGGGAAUAUCAUAAUAUUGUGGGAGGAGUCAUUUGGUGGGUUUUGAGUGAAAUCCAAUCUCUAGAACUGUACAAUACACCAACCACCCCAUUUCAGAACUAACUGCGUACGAACCGAAUUGUCCGAUUUCUAGGACCAAUCGAUAUCGGAUUGAGUCCAAAACUUGGGGAAUAUCAUAAUAUUGUGGGAGGAAUCAUUUGGUGGGUUUUGAGUGAAAUCCAAUCUCUAGAACUGUACAAUACACCAACCACCCCAUUUCAGAACGAACUUCGUACGAACCCGAAUUGGCCGAUUUCAAGGACCAAUCGAUAUCGGAUUGAGUCCAAACCUUGGGAACAUCAUAAUAUUGUGGGAGGGGUCAUUUGGUGGGUUUUGAGUGGAAUCCAAUCUCUAGAACUGUACAAUACACCAACCACCCCAUUUCAGAACGAACUUCGUACGGACCCGAGUUGUCCGAGUUCAAGGACCAAUCGAUAUCGGGAUUGAGUCCAAACCUUGGGAACAUUAUAAUAUUAUGGGAGGAGUCAUUUGGUGGGUUUUGAGUGAAAUGCAAUCUCUAGAACUAUACAAUACCCCAACCACCCCAUUUCAGAACGAACUUCGUAAGAACCUGAAUUGUCCGAUUUCAUGGACCAAUCGAUAUCGGAUUGAGUCCAAAACUUGGGGAAGAUCAUAGUAUUGUGGGAGGAGUCAUUUGGUGGGUUUUGAGUGAAAUCGAAUCUCUAGAACUAUACAACACACCAACCUCCCCAUUUCAGAACGAACUUCGUACGAACCUGAAUUGUCCGAUUUCAGGGACCAAUCGAUAUCGGAUUGAGGGGGGGAACUUGGGGAACAUCAUAAUAUUGUGGGAGGAGUCAUUUGGUGGGUUUUGAGUGAAAUCCAAUCUCUAGAAUUAUACAAUACACCAACCACCCCAUUUCAGAAUGAACUUUGUAGGAACCUGAAUUGUCCGAUUUCAAGGACCAAUCGAUAUCGGACUGAGUCCAAAACUUGGGGGAACAUCAUAAUAUUGUGGGAGGAGUCAUUUGGAAUGUUUUGAGUGAAAUACAAUCCCUAGAACUAUACAAUACACCAACCACUCCAUUUCAGAACGAACUUCGUACGAACCUGAAUUGUCAACUUUCGUGGACCGAUCGAUAUCGGAUUGAGUCCAAAACUUGGGGAACAUCAUAAUAUUUUGGGAGGAGUCAUUUGGUACAUUUUGAGUGAAAUCCAACCUCUAGAACUAUACAAUGCACCAACCACCCCAUUUCAGAACGAAUUUCGUAGGAAACUGAAUUGUCCGAUUUUAAGGACCAAUUGAUAUCGGAUUGAGUCCAAAACUUGGGGAACUGUCGUGGGAGGAGUCAUUUGGUGGGUUUUGAGUGAAAUCCAAUCUCUAGAACUAUACAAUACACCAAUCACCCCAUUUCAGAACGAACUUCGUACGAAUAUGAAUUGUCCGAUUUCAAGGACCAAUCGAUAUCGGACAGAGUCCAAAAGUUGGGGAACGUCAUAAUAUCGUGGGAGGAGUCAUUUGGUGGGUUUUGAGUGAACUCCAAUCUCUAGACCUAUACAAUACACCAACCUCCUCAUUUCAGAACGAACUUCGUUCGAACAUGAAUUGUCCGAUUUCAAGGACCAAUUGAUAUCGGACUUAGUCCAAAACUUGGGGAACAUCAUAAUCUUGUGGGAGGAGUCAUUUGGUGGUUUUGAGUGAAAUCCAAUCCCUAGAACUAUACAAUACACCAACCACCCCAUUUCAGAAUGAACUUUCGUAGGAACCUGAAUUGUCCGAUUUCAAGGACCAAUCGAUAUCGGACUGAGUCCAAAAGUUGUGGAACAUAAUAAUAUUGUGGCAGGAGUCAUUUGGUGGGUUUUGAGUGAAAUCCAAUCUUUAGAAUUAUACAAUACACCAACCACCCCAUUUCAGAAUGAACUUCGUAGGAACCUGAAUUGUCCGAUUUCAAGGACCAAUCUAUAUCGGACAGAGUCCGAAAGUUGGGGAACAUCAUAAUAUUGUGGGAGGAGUCAUUUGGUGGGUUUUGAGUGAAAUCCAAUCUCUAGACCUAUACAAUACACCAACCUCCUCAUUUCAGAACGAACUUCGUACGAACUUGAAUUGUCCGAUUUCAAGGACCAAUUGAUAUCGGAUUGAGUCCAAAACUUGGGGAACAACAUAAUCUUGUGGGAGGAGUCAUUUGGUGGGUUUUGAGUGAAAACCAAUCUCUAGAACUAGACAAUACACCAACCACCCCAUUUCAGAAUGAACUUUGUAGGAACCUGAAUUGUCCGAUUUCAAGGACCAAUCGAUAUCAGAUUGAGUCCAAAACUUCGGGAACAUCAUAAUAUUGUGGGACGAGUCAUUUGGUAAGUUUUGAGUGAAAUAGAAUCCAAAGAACCAUACAAUACACCACCCACUCCAUUUCAGAACGAACUUCGUACGAACCUGAAUUGUCAAAUUUCGUGGACCGAUCGAUAUCGGAUUGAGUCCAAAACUUGGGAAGCAUCGAAAUCUUGUGGGAGGAGACAUUUGGUGGGUUUUGAGUGAAAUCCAAUCUCUAGAACUAUACAAUACACCAACCACCCUAUUUCAGAACGAACUUCGUACGAACCUGAAUUGUUCGAUUUCGAGGACCAAUCGAUAUCGGAUUGAGUCCAAAACUUGGGGAACAUUAUAAUAUUGUGGGAGGAGUCAUUUGGUGGGUUUUGAGUGAAAUCCAAAAUCUAGAACAAUACAAUACCCCAACCACCCCAUUUCAGAACGAACUUUGUAGGAACCUGAAUUGUCCGAUUUCAAGGACCAAUCGAUAUCGGAUUGAGUUCAAAACUUGGGGAGGAUCAUAAUAUUGUGGGAGGAGUCAUUUGGUAAGUUUUGAGUGAAAUACAAUUCCCAGAACCAUACAAUACACCACCCACCCCAUUUAAGAAGGAACUUCGUACGAACCUGAAUUGUCAAAUUUCGUGGACCGAUCGAUAUCUGAUUGAGUCCAAAACUUGGGGAGCAACAUAAUCUUGUGGGAGGAGUCAUUUGGUGGGUUUUGAGUGAAAUUCAAUCUCUAGAGCUAUACAAUACACCAACCACCCCAUUUAAGAACGAACUUCGUACGAACCUGAAUUGUCCGAUUUCAAGGACCAAUCGAUAUCGGAUUGAGUCCAGAACUUGGGGAGUAACAUAAUCUUGUGGGAGGAGUCAUUUGGUGGGUUUUGAGUGAAAUCCAAUCUCUAGAACUAUACAAUACACCAACCACCCCAUUUCAAAACGAACUUCGUACGAACCUGAAUUGUCCGAUUUCAAGGACCAAUCGAUAUCGGAUUGAGUCCAAAACUUGGGGAACAUUAUAAUAUUGUGGGAGGAGUCAUUUGGUGGAUUUUGAGUGAAAUCCAAUCUCUAGAACUAUACAAUACCCCAACCACCCCAUUUCAGAAUGAACUUCGUAGGAACCUGAAUUGUCCGAUUUUAAGGACCAAUCGAUAUCGGCUUGAGUCCAAAACUUGGGGAACAUCAUAUUAUUGUGGGAGGAAUCAUUUGGUGGGUUUUGAGUGAAAUCCAAUUUCUAGAACUAUACAAUACACCAACCACCCCAUUUCAGAACGAACUUCGUACGAACCUGAAUUGUCCGAUUUCAAGGACCAAUCGAUAUCGGAUUGAGCCCAAAACUUGGGGAACAUCAU
rnacentral:lncRNA from 1 species